rnacentral:rRNA from 1 species
GACGGUCUUGCUGUCACUUAUAGAUGGAUCCGCGCUGCAUUAGCUAGUUGGUAAGGUAACGGCUUACCAAGGCAACGAUGCAUAGCCGACCUGAGAGGGUGAUCGGCCACACUGGAACUGAGACACGGUCCAGACUCCUACGGGAGGCAGCAGUAGGGAAUCUUCCGCAAUGGGCGAAAGCCUGACGGAGCAACGCCGCGUGAGUGAUGAAGGUCUUCGGAUCGUAAAACUCUGUUAUUAGGGAAGAACAUAUGUGUAAGUAACUGUGCACAUCUUGACGGUACCUAAUCAGAAAGCCACGGCUAACUACGUGCCAGCAGCCGCGGUAAUACGUAGGUGGCAAGCGUUAUCCGGAAUUAUUGGGCGUAAAGCGCGCGUAGGCGGUUUUUUAAGUCUGAUGUGAAAGCCCACGGCUCAACCGUGGAGGGUCAUUGGAAACUGGAAAACUUGAGUGCAGAAGAGGAAAGUGGAAUUCCAUGUGUAGCGGUGAAAUGCGCAGAGAUAUGGAGGAACACCAGUGGCGAAGGCGACUUUCUGGUCUGUAACUGACGCUGAUGUGCGAAAGCGUGGGGAUCAAACAGGAUUAGAUACCCUGGUAGUCCACGCCGUAAACGAUGAGUGCUAAGUGUUAGGGGGUUUCCGCCCCUUAGUGCU